AUUAUAUAUAGAGGGAAUAGACCCUCAGUUAAUGGCAGU
rnacentral:guide_RNA from 1 species